AUUGAACGCUGGCGGCAGGCCUAACACAUGCAAGUCGAACGAGUGGCGGACGGGUGAGUAAUGUCUGGGAAACUGCCUGAUGGAGGGGGAUAACUACUGGAAACGGUAGAUAAUACCGCAUACCAUCUGAUGUGCCCAGAUGGGAUUAGCUAGUUGUUUGGGUAAAGGCUCAACUAGGCGACGUUCCCUAGCUGGUCUGAGAGCAGUACCGUCCCCACUGGCACUGAGACACGGUCCAGACUCCUACGGGAGGCAGCAGUGGGGAAUAUUGCACACUGGGCGCAAGCCUGAUGCAGCCAUGCCGCGUGUAUGAAGAAGGCCUUAGGGUUGUAAAGUACUUUCAGCGGGGAGGCGUUACCCGCAGAAGAAGCACCGGCUAACUCCGUGCCAGCAGCCGCGGUAAUAC
rnacentral:rRNA from 1 species